UUUGCCGAUCCGGACGCCAUCUGCAAAUUCCGGACGCUGCGCACCCUCCCUUUCCCCUUUCCUCUUUCCUCUUCUCCAGCGUGGCCUCUUCCCUGCUUCCCUCUCUCCAUGAUCCUCCAGGCGGCGCGACGGCCAGCGAGCCCCCUCGCGGCGGCGCAGCACCACCCGCAGAGGCCUGGCCCCUGGAUCCAGGAUUCAGGCCACGCCAUGGCGCGGCAGGCGAGCCAGCCCCGGGCGGGUCCCUGUAAGGCGACCCGCCCCGAGCGGCACGGCCAUGGACAUGGACGAGGUGGAGCAGCAGCCCAUUGAAUCGAUCGAGAGAAGAAGAGAAUGGACGAGGUGGAGCAGCAUUUGUAGGCAACAGAUCGAGAAGUUCCAAGGACAAAGAUGGUGACGGGAUGGUCACGACCAAGGAGCUCGGGACGAUGAUGCGUUCGCUGGGGCAGAGCCCGACGGAGGAGGAGCUGCACGACAUGGUGAACAGGGUGGACACCGAUGGCAGCGGCGCUAUCGACUUCCAGAACUCCCUGACCCUCCUGGCGCGAUGAGCUCCGCCACGUCCUCCGAAACCUCGGCGAGCGCCUCUCUGUCACGCACGGUGCAGCGGACACACGAUCAUAUAUUUGAAUUAGCAUAUGGUGUAAUGAGUUGGGUUAAGUGGGGAAGGUGUGGGCCCGACGGGCAGUACCGGCCUCUGGGUGUAUGUAUACCCAUGCCAUGUAAUAGACAAGACAGACUUGUAUUCUGAAUGAAAUCGAAUCGCAUCGGGGUUCAGGGUUCCUCCCUCCCCAAGUUA